rnacentral:rRNA from 1 species
ACUCCUACGGGAGGCAGCAGUAGGGAAUCUUCGGCAAUGGGGGCAACCCUGACCGAGCAACGCCGCGUGAGUGAAGAAGGUUUUCGGAUCGUAAAGCUCUGUUGUAAGUCAAGAACGAGUGUGAGAGUGGAAAGUUCACACUGUGACGGUAGCUUACUAGAAAGGGACGGCUAACUACGUGCCAGCAGCCGCGGUAAUACGGAGGUGCCGAGCGAUGUUCGGAUUUAUUGGGCGUAAAGCGAGCGCAGGCGGUUUGAUAAGUCUGAAGUUAAAGACUGUUGCUCAACCGUAGUUCGCUUUGGAAACUGUCAAACUUGAGUGCAGAAGGGGAGAGUGGAAUUCCAUGUGUAGCGGUGAAAUGCGUAGAUAUAUGGAGGAACACCGGUGGCGAAAGCGGCUCUCUGGUCUGUAACUGACGCUGAGGCUCGAAAGCGUGGGGAGCGAACAGGAUUAGAAACCCUAGUAGUCCCAUG